rnacentral:rRNA from 1 species
CCAUGCCGCGUGAGUGAAGAAGGCUUCGGGUUGUAAAGCUCUUUUGUCCGGAAAGAAAAGCAUCCAGUUAAUACCUGGAUGUCCUGACGGUACCGGAAGAAUAAGCACCGGCUAACUUCGUGCCAGCAGCCGCGGUAAUACGAAGGGUGCAAGCGUUACUCGGAAUUACUGGGCGUAAAGCGUGCGUAGGUGGUUUGUUAAGUCUGAUGUGAAAGCCCUGGGCUCAACCUGGGAAUGGCAUUGGAUACUGGCAGGCUAGAGUGCGGUAGAGGGCAGUGGAAUUCCCGGUGUAGCAGUGAAAUGCGUAGAGAUCGGGAGGAACAUCUGUGGCGAAGCGACUGCCUGGACCAGCACUGACACUGAGGCACGAAAGCGUGGGGAGCAAACAGGAUUAGAUACCCUGGUAGUCCACGCCCUAAACGAUGCGAACUGGAUGUUGGG